GUACGAGAGGACCGGAGUGGACGCAUCACUGGUGUUCGGGUUGUCAUGCCAAUGGCACUGCCCGGUAGCUAAAUGCGGAAGAGAUAAGUGCUGAAAGCAUCUAAGCACGAAACUUGCCCCGAGAUGAGUUCUCCCUGACUCCUUGAGAGUCCUGAAGGAACGUUGAAGACGACGACGUUGAUAGGCCGGGUGUGUAAGCGCAGCGAUGCGUUGAGCUAACCGGUACUAAUGAACCGUGAGGCUUAACCUU
rnacentral:rRNA from 1 species